rnacentral:rRNA from 1 species
AUCAGCUGCUGCAGUUAAAGCUCGUAGUUGGAUUUCGGGUGGGUCUUAGCGGUCCGCCUCUGUGGGGACUGGUAAGGCCCUCCUUUCUGCCCGGGGCAGGGUCUUGGGCUUCACUGUCUGGGACCUGGAAUCCGCGAGGUUACUUUUAAUAAAUUAAAAUGGUCCAAACAAGCCUACCCUCUGAAUACUUUAACAUGGAAUAACACGAUAGGACUCUGGCCUAUCUUGUUGGUCUGUAGGACCGGAGUAAUGAUUAAAAAGGACAGUCGGGGGCAUUCGUAUUUCAUUGUCAGAGGUGAAAUUCUUGGAUUUAUGAAAGACAAACUUCUGCGAAAGCAUUUGCCAAGGAUGUUUUCAUUAAUCAAGAACGAAAGUUGGGGGCUCGAAGAAAA